UUGACUCCUGAAUAUCUAACCGGCUAAUUAAUAUCGGGAUGAAUCAGAAAAAUUUGGGUAGAUUUUGUUCUCUUGGAGAUCUCAACAACUUGAACAAGCUUCAAGGGAGGAAGUUGCCAUAGCAGCUGUGAGUAUCUACCUCCCCUGUGGAAGUUGCCAUCCCUUGAGAAGCUUAUUUUGGAAGACAUGGAAGGUGUCAAAAGGUUGGGUGUUGAGUUUGUUGGAAUGGAGACUCAAUCGUCAUCACCCGUUGUUGGAUUCCCGAAGUUAAGCAUCUCAUUUUUAAUGGGAUGAGUAAUUUGAAAGACUGGGAUAGCAUGGCGAUGAGCAAUUUGGUUGCCAAACUAUCUUCUCCAAAUGACAACAUUAGAGAAACGAUCAAUCUAUGAGUGCCCCAUUCUGGAACAGCAAGAGAGUGGAUAAAAUUGGCACAGUCCCAACAUCCAACACGUUCGCAUUUGAUGUUCUUAAAUGGUUCAAAAAGCUGCUUUCCACCUUAUUGAUCAGCCUCGCAUUUAGCAAGCACUAGCACCAUUUUUGGUUGUUGGAUGGCGAGAGCUGUUGUACUAUAUGCCCCCACAACCAGAAUUAUUUAAUUCACUUUCCAUUUGUUAGCUCUAGAUUUAAUUUGCAGGGGACUUUUUACAAUAGUAAUAAGCUUGUUAUGUUCAAAACUUACAAAUGAUGUUCUGUUUCGCCGCUGUCAAUUAUCUUUAAGUUCUUUUUUUCCUGAAAAGAUGCUACUCUAGUUAGUAAUAUCUUGACUUGAAUGUAAUAUAUCUUUGCUUCUAAAUCAGAAAAUAUAAUCAAAAUAAUGGGUACUUCACUCAGCAAACAGCUUUAAAAGAUUUGAGGAUGUACGAUGAUAACUCGAAAAUGUUAUAUUUAAAGUAUAAUGCGCUGUUGCAGUACAUGCAGGAAACUGUAUGCAGAUGGGUUUAUCCGUACUAUGCAGGACUGGGAUCUCCAUCAAUAUUAAUUCAUACAUAAUUUCUUAAAAUUUGAUUCUCAAAUUUAUAAAAUUAAUUCUUCAACUUCGGCAAAAUCUUUCUCAGAAAUCUAGGGAAAUGAGAACUUGCCGAUGCCUUUCAACCCUUGGUUUGAAUGAGAUGCAUUUUGUGCCAGGUAACAUCUUUCUUUUAUUUCUUGACUAAACUGUGCUGUAGUACUAAGUCAAGCUUCAGCCAUGAUAGUACACUUUCAUCACAAUGUUAUCCAUUGGGUAACAAAAUAUUUUUGGCUGAAUUGUUCCCCUUCAGUUUCUUCCAAUUUUGCAUUGAUGUUCUUGUUAUUUGGUUGUUGAAUCUAACUUCCCUAGUCUGCAUGUUUUUGGUUCUUUUAGGGUGACAUAACGUGAGUCGAGCAUCUUGAUCGCGGAAUCCCCAUUUCUGGUGAAGAGUAGAUGUACAAAGUCUACAAUCUCGAAGAAAGUGAUGGACUGGGAGCCCAACGACCUGAACAUGAAUUCUGCAAGAUCUUUAGCAUCUUAGCCAUAGAAGACAUUAAAGACUCGAGAAAAAGAGAGAACUCACUACUUUUGAACUACAAUUUGGUAGACCGGAUGCAGAGUGGAGAAAACUUCAUGAUGGUGAAUUAUUGGAUGCAUUAUAUUCAUAUAUCUUUGUGGAAGAAUUGAGGAUAGACAAGUACAAAAGCUGUGCUUUUUUCUUAACUAACUGGAUACCUAAUUUAAAGUCAGCUGUGCUCACUAAGUGCAAAACCUGUGAGCAUUUGCCUCCUCUAUGAAGCUACCCUUCCUCAAAUAUAUUGGACUAAGGGGCCUGGAUGGAGUGAAAACAGGUUGGUCAUGAGCUCCUAGGAACUGAAACUCAAUGCUCACCAUCAUCAGUUGUUGCAUUUCUCAUAUUGAUAUAACUACGGUUUUGUGUCCAUGCCGAAUUGGGAAGGAUGCCCAUGAUAAAUUUAAGCAGUGUUAAUAGCUAACUCAUUAUAUUUGUCAAACCAAUUUUGUGCAGGAGAGAUGAUUGAUCCAUCAUCAUUGAUAUUCCCGACAUCGAAGUUACAAAUUCUUUUAUUCUGAAUGCCUAUUUUUUGCUAGUAAAUCCUUGAUAUUGUUACUUGUGAUCGUACUAUAUUAACAAGUUUCAAUGUUGUGUAUGUUCAGGAACUGUAUUGUUAUUUAGUUGACAAUGAAUUCAGGUAGAAAAUGGAAUACCUAAUUGCCUUGAAAAAAAUGUCCAAUGCUGACAAGAAAUGGAAAGUACAGGCAAAUUAGACAUAGAAAUCUUUCCAUCAGCCGGAGAUGUGCCCAUUGGGCAUUAGCAAAUUGCAGUUGAAGAAGGCAUUAGAAAUCUUUCCAUCAGGUAACAUCAGAAUCCUGCGAAGUAUUCAUGACAAGCUGUCAGCACGUGGUGGAUUUCAGGUUUUUGUUGUUGUUAAUAUAGGUCUCUUACCAUUCAUGUCUGCAAUAGAUUGUUAAAGAUUAAAUAGCUAAU